UACAGAGGUCUCAAGCGUUGUUCGGAUUCAUUGGGCGUAAAGGGUGCGUAGGCGGCGCGGUAAGUCGGGUGUGAAAUCUCGGAGCUUAACUCCGAAACUGCAUUCGAUACUGCCGUGCUUUGAGGACUGGAGAGGAGACUGGAAUUUACGGUGUAGCGGUGAAAUGCGUAGAUAUUCGCAAGAACACCAGUGGCGAAGGCGGCUCACUGGCCCGGUACUGACGCUGAGGUGCGAAAGCGUGGGGAGCAAACAGG
rnacentral:rRNA from 1 species